GGAGAUGGUGGCUCAGUGGUAGAGUGCAUGCUUUGAAUUGACGAUGUCCUGGGUUCAAUCUCCAGCUUCUCCC